rnacentral:rRNA from 1 species
GUCGAGCGGCAGCGGAGAGUACCUUGCUACUUUGCCGGCGAGCGGCGGACGGGUGAGUAAUGUCUGGGAAACUGCCUGAUGGAGGGGGAUAACUACUGGAAACGGUAGCUAAUACCGCAUAAGGUCGCAAGACCAAAGAGGGGGACCUUCGGGCCUCUUGCCAUCAGAUGUGCCCAGAUGGGAUUAGCUAGUAAGUGGGGUAACGGCUCACCUAGGCGACGAUCCCUAGCUGGUCUGAGAGGAUGACCAGCCACACUGGAACUGAGACACGGUCCAGACUCCUACGGGAGGCAGCAGUGGGGAAUAUUGCACAAUGGGCGCAAGCCUGAUGCAGCCAUGCCGCGUGUAUGAAGAAGGCCUUCGGGUUGUAAAGUACUUUCAGCGGGGAGGAAGGCGAUGAGGUUAAUAACCUUGUCAUUGACGUUACCCGCAGAAGAAGCACCGGCUAACUCCGUGCCAGCA